UGGAGAAUAAACUGAUCCUUUGUGUCUCUGAAUACCCCGAAAUACAAGCCCUCUCUGUUUUUUCUACCAGAGUAGGCAUGUCAGGUGUGUUAGAAGGCUUGUUGCAGGUAGGCACUAUGUGCAAAUAUAGUGCUAACGCUUUCUUCUGAGCACAGGAAAGAUACAUCUUUAAGCAACGGAACACACCGGAAGCUUCCUGCAGUAUGGAUGUGUCCACUCAUAUACAUCUCUGGUCACGCUAGAAGUUUUGAAAAGUCCGCCCGUUCUUUGCUCUGUCCGCCGCCAGUUCGCAGGACAGUGCGCUGAACCGAGCGGUCAAGUCGCGUUCUGUCUGAAAGCAGCAUAACUUUCGCUUGUCCGACUAGAGGAGAAGAGACUGACUGCAUGUGUGGGAAAGCAAGUUUUUUUUCCCCCCACUAACUUUCUGAGUACUGCCACACAUGCCGCUGCAGUGUAGGUGCUCAGGACUUGUUGCUGACGGAGAAGACUGCUUUCUGCACAUGGAUCAAGCCUCAGGACAGGUUUUCUACAUUAACCAGCUAGCCGCUGGACAGAGGGUUUGCACUGCUGGUCACUAAAAUCUUCCUGCUUUUCCCAACGGACAGCUCUUUGUUUUCCCUACCUGCCCACCAGAUGUCUUCCCACAUGCCAGUGUCUUCCUGCACACUCCAACAGCUGGGACAAGUUGCUGAUUAGCUCCUGUGUGUCCCUCUGUGGGUUUAUCAGCUGCUGAAACUCUGAGCGACUAAGUCUAACUCUGCACUUUUCCGGUUUCAUCACAUCACUCAGACUGUUUUACUCUUUGUUGUGCUCUGUCCCUACCUCUGGACAAAAGGCAUGUUCAGUUAUUUAACUCUCUGUGCACUCACUUGCUUCAUUUACCUUUUUGAUGAAAAAGUCUUUUGGUAACAUCAGCGGGGAAGGAUCCAGACUCAUCAAUGAAUUUUCAGCUUUGCAGCCCAUGAACUGGCACAGUCCUUUUAUGCAUACACACACCUGUGGGGCAAAAUAGUUAGUUAUAAAAAUCCCAUUUCACAAAUACGACUGCUGUCACGUCGACUGUCCAUACACAAAUGUGUGAGUAAUAGACUGUGCAUGAACGAGGCCACAAGUCCAUGUCACAAACAAUAAUAGUAGAAUCAAUAGCUGGUGGUAUUUUCUCCAUAUACAACAGGCCUUUUUCACAGCAGACAUUUUGACAUUUCAUCACUGAUAAACCUCAGGUGUUACUAAUGACAUUAAUCAAUGCUACCUUCCCGUCAAGUGUCCCAGUAAGUCCUGACAGUGUGACAGUGAGUCAACAUGCACAAUACCAGGGAGCAGCUAAAAGGCCAUUGAUAUUUUUUAUUAUUUACACUUGUGCUUUUCCUACUGUGGCAUGUCAAAGUGUCUUCUAUGAAAAAGACCUGCUGCCAUUUUGAUAUUUUAUUUAUUUGAACACAAAUCUCUCCAAAUAUCGCCUCGCAGUGACAUUUCUUGUUCUUUAUUCUUCAAAUCAAAACAGGCUAAUUUUGCUUGUGAAACAGCAUAAACAAGAAACAAGUCAGGGCAGAAAAAGUUUCUUCUUUUUUCUCACUCCACCCUGCUGUGAAAAACUUUAUAUAUUUAUCAUAACAAUAAAUCUAUAGUGGAAAAAUUGCAUUAAAACUUACUCACAUUUAUCUUGACAAGGUUUUUAUGUGAUGUGUUUUCAUGUUUUGAGACACUUUCAUCCAUUCUACCUUUUAUCUUUCCAUCAGAUUAAUCUUUUACCUUUUAUUUUGAAUUUUCCUCAGUAAACCUGCGGUUCAGUUGGUAGCGUAUUACCUCUGUAUGGGGAAUGUAAAUUGGCCAAAUUAGCAUACAAUGGUUCCGCUGUUUCUAGAGUUCAUGUAUUACAGGGUGGUCAGAAAAGUCACAAAGCUUUUUGGAUCUUGUGAAAAAAAAAAAAAAAAGGAAAUCAAGAAUGACUGUGUCGUUUGAUUUCUGCCUUUAUGGAAUAUAUCGGUUCAUGUUAGAAGACUAACAGGAUGGGAGGAAGAAUAAAGACACAACACUGAGGUGAAAAAAA